rnacentral:rRNA from 1 species
AGAGUUGGAUAAGGAUAAAAAUCAACGCUGGGGGAGUGCCUCAGACAUGCAAGUCGAACGAUUAAAGCCCUCUUCGGAGGGUGUCCAAUCGAAGGCACGGGUGAGUAACACGUAAGUAAUCUACCCUCGGGUGGGGAAUAACAACCGGAAACGGUUGCUAAUACCGCAUAAUGCAGCGGCUCCUUAUGGAGACAGUUGUUAAAAGGAUUUAUUCGCCUGAGGAGGAGCUUGCGGCAAAUUAGCUAGUUGGUAAGGUAAUGGCUUACCAAGGCUACAAUCUGU